UCGGACGGCAGCACAGAGAAGCUUGCUUCUUGGGUGGCGAGUGGCGAACGGGUGAGUAAUAUAUCGGAACGUACCGAGUAAUGGGGGAUAACUAAUCGAAAGAUUAGCUAAUACCGCAUAUUCUCUGAGGAGGAAAGCAGGGGACCUUCGGGCCUUGCGUUAUUCGAGCGGCCGAUAUCUGAUUAGCUAGUUGGUGGGGUAAAGGCCUACCAAGGCGACGAUCAGUAGCGGGUCUGAGAGGAUGAUCCGCCACACUGGGACUGAGACACGGCCCAGACUCCUACGGGAGGCAGCAGUGGGGAAUUUUGGACAAUGGGCGCAAGCCUGAUCCAGCCAUGCCGCGUGCCUGAAGAAGGCCUUCGGGUCGUAAAGGACUUUUGUCAGGGAAGAAAAGGCUGUUGCUAAUAUCGACAGCUGAUGACGGUACCUGAAGAAUAAGCACCGGCUAACUACGUGCCAGCAGCCGCGGUAAUACGUAGGGUGCGAGCGUUAAUCGGAAUUACUGGGCGUAAAGCGAGCGCAGACGGUUACUUAAGCAGGAUGUGAAAUCCCCGGGCUCAACCUGGGAACUGCGUUCUGAACUGGGUGACUAGAGUGUGUCAGAGGGAGGUAGAAUUCCACGUGUAGCAGUGAAAUGCGUAGAGAUGUGGAGGAAUACCGAUGGCGAAGGCAGCCUCCUGGGAUAACACUGACGUUCAUGCUCGAAAGCGUGGGUAGCAAACAGGAUUAGAUACCCUGGUAGUCCACGCCCUAAACGAUGUCAAUUAGCUGUUGGGCAACUUGAUUGCUUAGUAGCGUAGCUAACGCGUGAAAUGACC
rnacentral:rRNA from 1 species